rnacentral:lncRNA from 1 species
GCCAUGACAACCCACUCAGGAAAGUACCUAGGUGCCAGACUUAGAUGUUUUUUUUUUUUCUUUUUGGGUCCCAGAGGAGUACCAGAGUGAGUUCAUAAUUCUUUUAUUGCUACCUGGAGAGAAGCCUUUCCCACUCAGUGUUGCAUCCAAUGGCAGAUCAACACUCUUGGAAUGAGCAUCUGCUCCUUUCUGCAGAGGAAACAUUUGUACUGUUCAAAUGGUUGGACUAUGAGUCACAGAUUAAGCAUAAGGGACUUUUCUGA